rnacentral:misc_RNA from 1 species
AAGUCGUAACAAGGUUUCCGUAGGUGAACCGCGGAAGGAUCAUUAACACGUAUCCAAACGUUAACCGCCCUGUGAACAGUCGCUUUGUCAGAACGAGGCAAUCCCUGGUAAUCCAUCGCCGAACAGUUUUGAUUCUGGGACUUCUCAAUGUGCAUGUUGCGAGGCAAGUGGCUGACAUUCCCAAGCAGUUAGUGUCUGAAAGUGUCAGUCACGAUCGUUGGUACACACAGGGCGAAAGCUCCUUUAUCACCCUUUAUGCAUGUCAGAGGUCAGCCUUAAUUGUGCGGCACAAAAAACCGAACCUUUAUCACCCUUUAUGCAUGUCAGAGGUGUCAGCCUUAAUUGUGCGGCACAAAAAACCGAACAACUGUUAACAAUGGAUAUCUUGGUUCUC